rnacentral:rRNA from 1 species
UACAGGGGGUGCAAACGUUGCUCGGAAUCAUUGGGCGUAAAGGGCGCGUAGGCGGAUAGUUUAGUCAGAGGUGAAAAGCCCAGGGCUCAACCUUGGAAUUGCCUUUGAUACUGGCUAUCUUGAGUUCGGGAGAGGUGAGUGGAAUGCCGAGUGUAGAGGUGAAAUUCGUAGAUAUUCGGCGGAACACCAGUGGCGAAGGCGACUCACUGGCCCGAUACUGACGCUGAGGCGCGAAAGCGUGGGGAGCAAACAGG